UCCAGGGUAGCCUAGUGGACAUGGCAUCUGCCCGGUAAGCGGAACACUGUGGGUUCGAUUCCCAUCCUUGGAG